CAAAGGGGUGAGGAGCUGAGAAAAGUAGAUGGAGAAGAAGCAGACGUUGGCAGAGACUGGGAGGAAGUGGAUGAGAACUGAGAGACUGAUGGGGAAUUUAGCAGGGGAGCAUUCACAGAGAAGAUCACACUGAAAUUGAAGAGGCUGCAAAAGAAUUAGGGAGUACAUGGAACCUACAACAAGUCUCCAGUAUGUAAAAACGUAUUUAUCCGCUAUUUGUUUUCUCUGUUGGCAGAUACAAUUUUGUGCUAAUGCUGAAGUGUGAGAAUAUGUUAGCAAGGAAAAAUGUUUACUGACCUGCCCAGUCAAACUUUAGAAAUGAACUUAAGGCUCCAACUCAACGACACUAAGCAUAUUAAUAUUCUGGUCUAUGUAAUACAGUCAUGACUUGCAAGAUAAACUGCACAGACCUUUUCAUAUUUCACAAAAGCUUUUCAUAUUUUUAGAGAAAUCUAACCCUGAAUAUGGCAGCUAUUUACAUGUCACUUCUUUUUUAAAAGAUUUUUCACUAGUCAUGGUAAUAUUUCUUGUUAUGAAAGCACCUGCUUACAUUUCAAUGACUUCAGAGAGAUGUAAGUAUGUAAGAAAACACUUAAGCUCAUACUUGAAUAGUUUUUUUCUCAAGUGAGAAAUUUAAUUAAUAAGUGUUAGAUCUGUUCACGAAUAAAAUUAGACAUGUUCCUAAAUUUUUAAUGAAUUAGUUAAUUGUUCUUUGAUAUUGCAAAAUUAUCCAUUACUGAAACUAGUCCCAUGAGUACUUGAAGAUUUAUAUUUCAGCCUUUCAUAAUACCAGAGCAUUCUAAACAUUGAGUAUGGUUUCUACAUCAUUUUCCUCUUUGUUACUAGAAAAUAUUUCUGUCAAUUUGA